rnacentral:piRNA from 1 species
UAAAGGAAACGAAGAAAGAAU